rnacentral:rRNA from 1 species
UUAGGGGAAACGACAUCGAAAGCUUGCUUUUGAUGGGCGUCGACCGGCGCACGGGUGAGUAACGCGUAUCCAACCUGCCCACCACUUGGGGAUAACCUUGCGAAAGUAAGACUAAUACCCAAUGAUAUCUCUAGAAGACAUCUGAAAGAGAUUAAAGAUUUAUCGGUGAUGGAUGGGGAUGCGUCUGAUUAGCUUGUUGGCGGGGUAACGGCCCACCAAGGCAACGAUCAGUAGGGGUUCUGAGAGGAAGGUCCCCCACAUUGGAACUGAGACACGGUCCAAACUCCUACGGGAGGCAGCAGUGAGGAAUAUUGGUCAAUGGACGAGAGUCUGAACCAGCCAAGUAGCGUGCAGGAUGACGGCCCUAUGGGUUGUAAACUGCUUUUAUAAGGGAAUAAAGUGAGUCUCGUGAGACUUUUUGCAUGUACCUUAUGAAUAAGGACCGGCUAAUUCCGUGCCAGCAGCCGCGGUAAUACGGAAGGUCCGGGCGUUAUCCGGAUUUAUUGGGUUUAAAGGGAGCGUAGGCCGGAGAUUAAGCGUGUUGUGAAAUGUAGACGCUCAACGUCUGCACUGCAGCGCGAACUGGUUUCCUUGAGUACGCACAAAGUGGGCGGAAUUCGUGGUGUAGCGGUGAGAUGCUUAGAUAUCACGAAGAACUCCGAUUGCGAAGGCAGCUCACUGGAGCGCAACUGACGCUGAAGCUCGAAAGUGCGGGUAUCGAACAGGAUUAGAUACCCUGGUAGUCCGCACGGUAAACGAUGGAUGCCCGCUGUUGGUCUGAAUAGGUCAGCGGCCAAGCGAAAGCAUUAAGCAUCCCACCUGGGGAGUACGCCGGCAACGGAGCGACUCAAAUGAAUUGACGGA